GCUUAGGCGGUAUCCCUGACUGAAUACAUAGGUCAGAGGAGGCGAACCGAGUGAACUGAAACAUCUAAGUAACUCGAGGAAAAGAAAUCAACCGAGAUUCCGUAAGUAGCGGCGAGCGAACGGGGAGGAGCCCAGAGUCUGAAUCAGCGCGUGUGUUAGUGGAAGCGUCUGGAAAGUCGCACGAUACAGGGUGAAAGUCCCGUACACAAAAAUGCACACGUUGUGAACUCGAAGAGUAGGGCGGGACACGUGGUAUCCUGUCUGAAUAUGGGGGGACCAUCCU
rnacentral:rRNA from 1 species